rnacentral:tRNA from 1 species
GGCACUUUGGCGGAGUGGUUAACGCGCGGGCCUGCUAAGCCCGUCUCUUCGGAGGCGCAGGUUCGAAUCCUGCAGGUGUCG